CGUUUUUAUCGUCUUUCUGAGUGAGGCGGCUGACUGACUGUGUGUGUAUGUGAGCUGCAGCUCGUUGAGAUUGCUCGGUCGGUCCCGAAUUAUUUUAUAUUUGCCUGUUAAAUUUUUAUUUUGAGCGAAUUUGAGUCGUGACAUGUCAACGGAGGACAAAAACUAGAGUGUGAACACAGGAAGGGUCAGGUGUGAUCUGCGAGGUCCAGCAAACACACGGACAAAAUCAGAGUCAUCAAGGAUCCAGCUGUUUAUUGGCAAUUUGGACAGUACAGAAAGUGCACAAGUGUGAGAGAGAGGAGGGGACGGCAUUAGAAAGGACCUAGAGCUGGGACUCUUUCAAGGAUCACCCAAAGCACAACCACGCUAUAUGUACAAGGCAGCUGGUUCUAACAUUUUAUCAGAAUUUGAAGAAACAUUUCUACUUAAAAUAUUAAAUGCAUUUCAUUCAAGGCAGCGUUUUUCCUGCAUAAAGAAUUUCCUCUGGCUGUCGACAAAACUCCUUAUCCUUUACCACCGACAUGGUUUCUGUUGCAGGUUCCAUUCUUGAACUGUUCAACACAUUCUCACUGCACAAAUGUACAAAUCUCUUGUAAUGAGACACAUUAGUAAAACAUGUUUUCACAGAAACUAUAGAUUUCCACCAAAAUAAAAGAUCAACUGGUUUCAGUCAAAAGAAGUACAAGGGUUUCUCUUGCAAGUGCAGCGCAAAAUAUGCAUGUUAUGGUACAAACACUGAGUCUUUAAAUGUUGUAUUUGGAUUUUACAGGUUUUUAACAAUACAUCCAAACACAAACACUGCAAGCUAAAGUUUGGGAUUAUUUUCAUCAGUUUUAUAAAGUAUGUUUCCAAAAUAAAACUGCUGUUUUACCAUUUUCAGCGUGUGGUAGUUUAUUGAAGUUGAUUGUAAAGCUGCUAGUUCUACUGGUUUUUAGCAAUACAUCCAAGCACAAACACCGCAAACUAAAGUUUAAGAUUAUUUUCAUGUG